rnacentral:rRNA from 1 species
CGGGAGGCUGCACCAGUGGGGAAUAUUGCACAAUGGGCGCAAGCCUGAUGCAGCCAUGCCGCGUGUAUGAAGAAGGCCUUCGGGUUGUAAAGUACUUUCAGCGGGGAGGAAGGGAGUAAAGUUAAUACCUUUGCUCAUUGACGUUACCCGCAGAAGAAGCACCGGCUAACUCCGUGCCAGCAGCCGCGGUAAUACGGAGGGUGCAAGCGUUAAUCGGAAUUACUGGGCGUAAAGCGCACGCAGGCGGUUUGUUAAGUCAGAUGUGAAAUCCCCGGGCUCAACCUGGGAACUGCAUCUGAUACUGGCAAGCUUGAGUCUCGUAGAGGGGGGUAGAAUUCCAGGUGUAGCGGUGAAAUGCGUAGAGAUCUGGAGGAAUACUGGUGGCGAAGGCGGCCCCCUGGACGAAGACUGACGCUCAGGUGCGAAAGCGUGGGGAGCAAACAGGAUUAGAUACCCCCGUAGUC